GGGCGUAAGGGCUCGCAGGCGGUUUCUUAAGUCUGAUGUGAAAGCCCCCGGCUCAACCGGGGAGGGUCAUUGGAAACUGGGGAACUUGAGUGCAGAAGAGGAGAGUGGAAUUCCACGUGUAGCGGUGAAAUGCGUAGAGAUGUGGAGGAACACCAGUGGCGAAGGCGACUCUCUGGUCUGUAACUGACGCUGAGGAGCGAAAGCGUGGGGAGCGAACAGGAUUAGAUACCCUGGUAGUCCACGCCGUAAACGAUGAGUGCUAAGUGUUAGGGGGUUUCCGCCCCUUAGUGCUGCAGCUAACGCAUUAAGCACUCCGCCUGGGGAGUACGGUCGCAAGACUGAAACUCAAAGGAAUUGACGGGGGCCCGCACAAGCGGUGGAGCAUGUGGUUUAAUUCUAAGCAACGCGAAGAACCUUACCAGGUCUUGACGUCGGCUGACAAUCCUAGAGAUAGGACGUCCCCUUCGGGGGCAGAGUGACAGGUGGUGCAUGGUUGUCGUCAGCUCGUGUCGUGAGAUGUUGGGUUAAGUCCCGCAACGAGCGCAACCCUU
rnacentral:rRNA from 1 species